CGGGCACGUGUGUGAGCAUGAGCUUAACAUGAAAAUAAUACUUAAAAAAAAAAGAGAAUUUAGUAAAUGCAAUGCAUGAGAUGCAAAAGCCUCUUGAUGAUCAACUGGCUUUGCCUCACAUAACAAUUUAUAAAACGAGAAAAAUCAGUGUCAACUUUAUACCUUUGAUCUUCUCUCUAAGCAAAAGUGAUAAUUAAAGCUGAUCAAGACUAUAAAAUAAUUAACAUGAUUGCCAGAUUAGAUCAAAUAAUUUUAAUCAAUAAGACAAAGUUACAGCACUAACCCAAUACCAAAGAGAAGUAAAAUAUAAUAUAUAUUUAC
rnacentral:misc_RNA from 1 species